CUGCUGCCUCCCGUAGGAGUCUGGGCCGUGUCUCAGUCCCAAUGUGGCCGGCCAACCUCUCAGUCCGGCUACUGAUCGUCGCUUUGGUAGGCCGUUACCCUGCCAACUGGCUAAUCAGACGCGGGCCCAUCCUGUACCACCGGAGUUUUCAGGGAAAAGCCAUGCGGCUUCCCCCGUUAUGCGGUAUUAGCACCUAUUUCUAAGUGUUAUCCCCCUGUACAGGCCAGGUUGCCCACGCGUUACUCACCCGUCCGCCACUCAUG
rnacentral:rRNA from 1 species